ACGAGGGUGACAGGUGGUGCAUGGUUGUCGUCAGCUCGUGUCGUGAGAUGUUGGUUAAGUCCCGCAACGAGCGCAACCCUCGACCUUAGUUGCCAGCAUUCAGUUGGGCACUCUAAGGUGACUGCCGGACUAAAGUCGGAGGAAGGUGGGGAUGACGUCAAAUCAUCAUCGCCCCUUAUGACCUGGGCUACACACGUGCUACAAUGGGCGGUACAAAGGGUCGCGAACCCGCGAGGGGGAGCCAAUCCCAAAAAGCCGCUCUCAGUUCGGAUUGCAGGCUGCAACUCGCCUGCAUGAAGCCGGAAUCGCUAGUAAUCGCGGAUCAGCAUGCCGCGGUGAAUACGUUCCCGGGCCUU
rnacentral:rRNA from 1 species